rnacentral:rRNA from 1 species
GACGAACGCUGGCGGCGUGCCUAAUACAUGCAAGUUGAGCGCUGAAGGUUGGUACUUGUACCAACUGGAUGAGCAGCGAACGGGUGAGUAACGCGUGGGGAAUCUGCCUUUGAGCGGGGGACAACAUUGGGAAACGAAUGCUAAUACCGCAUAAAACCUUUAAACACAAGUUUUAAGUUUGAAAGAUGCAAUUGCAUCACUCAAAGAUGAUCCCGCGUUGUAUUAGCUAGUUGGUGAGGUAAAGGCUCACCAAGGCGAUGAUACAUAGCCGACCUGAGAGGGUGGUCGGCCACAUUGGGACUGAGACACGGCCCAAACUCCUACGGGAGGCAGCAGUAGGGAAUCUUCGGCAAUGGGCGGAAGUCUGACCGAGCAACGCCGGGGGAGGGAAGAAGGUUUUCGGAUCGGAAAACUCUGUUGGUAGGGAAGAACGUUGGUGAGAGUGGAAAGCUCAUCAAGUGACGGUAACUACACAGAAAGGGACGGCUAACUACGUG